UACGGAGGGGGCUAGCGUUGUUCGGAAUUACUGGGCGUAAAGCGCACGUAGGCGGCUCUGUAAGUUAGAGGUGAAAGCCCGGAGCUCAACUUCGGAAUUGCCUUUAAGACUGCAUCGCUUGAAUCAUGGAGAGGUCAGUGGAAUUCCGAGUGUAGAGGUGAAAUUCGUAGAUAUUCGGAAGAACACCAGUGGCGAAGGCGACUGACUGGACAUGUAUUGACGCUGAGGUGCGAAAGCGUGGGGAGCAAACAGG
rnacentral:rRNA from 1 species